rnacentral:rRNA from 1 species
UACGUAGGGUGCAAGCGUUGUCCGGAAUUAUUGGGCGUAAAGAGCUCGUAGGCGGUCUGUCGCGUCGGCUGUGAAAUCCCGAGGCUCAACCUCGGGUCUGCAGUCGAUACGGGCAAACUAGAGUAUUGCAGGGGAGACUGGAAUUCCUGGUGUAGCGGUGAAAUGCGCAGAUAUCAGGAGGAACACCAGUGGCGAAGGCGACACGCUGGGCCAUACCUGACGCUAAAGCGCGACAGCAUGGGGGAGCAAACGGGG